GUGUCAGCAGCCGCGGUAAUACGGAGGGUGCAAGCGUUGCUCGGAAUUAUUGGGCGUAAAGGGUAGGUAGGUGGUCUCAUUUGUCAGGGGUGAAAGCCUUGGGCUUAACUCAAGAAGUGCCCCUGAAACGGUGAGACUAGAGUGCUGGAGAGGGUCGUGGAAUUCCCGGUGUAGCGGUGAAAUGCGUAGAGAUCGGGAGGAACACCAGAGGCGAAGGCGGCGACCUGGACAGUUACUGACACUCAACUACGAAAGCGUGGGGAGCAAACAGGAUUAGAAACCCGCGUAGUCC
rnacentral:rRNA from 1 species